AUUGGUAUGGAUGUGCUUCUGCUUGCUUGGAAUGGUCCUGAAACUCCUGUUGCUAAGGCGACGAUUAUCUCAAUCGCUGAAGACACUAUUGUUGGCGGGGAGCCCCUUGGGCCUGAGAAUUAUGAGGUGAUCAUCAGUGUUGCGAUUAGAAGGGAAUCUACGCUACCUUUUCAGUAUGAUGGUUUACGAUACAUCAGCGAUGCUGUCAAGAUGUCCAUUGCAUGGCCAUCAAGCAAGAUGAAGCCCUACAAGACUGCUGCGGCAUUAUCCUCCACAUGUCGCUAAGGGAUGGUAUGCAUAAGGAUAAAGAACCAAGAAGCUGACGGGCGAGAAACCAUGAAGUCGGGGUUUCUGUCAAAUGGAUAUUUUGUGUAAUGGAGCAAACAAUGAAUUAUUUUGUAAACUUGUAUGGUUUCUUGAACAUUGAACGAUGGUGUUUCCUUUAGUUUAUGAGAAUCUGAAUGGUAACUAUGUUUCGAAGAUAUGAAUUAUUUAUGUGUGUCAAAACUUACUCUUGUAAUAUAUGUAACUUGAUUGAGUGUGCA